rnacentral:rRNA from 1 species
UACGAGGGGGGGCGAGCGUUGUUCGGAAUUAUUGGGCGUAAAGGGUGCGUAGGCGGUCUGUCGCGUCGGCUGUGAAAACCCGGGGCUCAACCCCGGGCCUGCAGUCGAUACGGGCAGACUAGAGUGCGGUAGGGGAGACUGGAAUUCCUGGUGUAGCGGUGAAAUGCGCAGAUAUCGGGAGGAACACCAGUGGCGAAGGCGGCGAUCUGGGAAGAUACUGACGCUGAGGUGCGAAAGCGUGGGGAGCAAACAGG